AUAUUUUUGUGCAUAUAAAGAGGUAUCUAAAGAAGGCGUCUGCAUUCUAUGUGUACCAAAAUUUUCUCAAUAUGUUCAGUACCUAUAGAACAUGUUGUAUUUACUUAUUCAAACUGAAAUACAAUGUUUUUACUUAAUUUUGCAUCAAUUUAGGGACCCAAAGCAACUAAUUUAUAUCCUCCUGGUCAGCAAGUGAUACUUUUGAACCAACUGCACCUCUAUUUUUCAGGGUAACCAUUAUGAUUUAAGGAAAAACACACCAUUGACGCAGCCAGCUUUUCAUAAACAGGGGCUAAAUAUUUUAUAGAUUUGUUGUUUUCUAACUUCAAGUCUGACAUAUAUAAUGUGUAGUUUUAGGUUUGAUGACAUUGACGCAUUGAUUUUGAAUGACAAGGUGGAUUGAAGACAGAAUAACAACGCCCAACUUUAUAAUAAAAAAAUCAUUAGAAGAUUUAACUGACCCUUCAGCCCUUGUA